rnacentral:rRNA from 1 species
CAGUGCCACGGUAAUACGAAGGGGGCUAGCGUUGUUCGGAUUUACUGGGCGUAAAGCGCACGUAGGCGGAUCGAUCAGUCAGGGGUGAAAUCCCAGAGCUCAACUCUGGAACUGCCUUUGAUACUGUCGAUCUGGAGUAUGGAAGAGGUGAGUGGAAUUCCGAGUGUAGAGGUGAAAUUCGUAGAUAUUCGGAGGAACACCAGUGGCGAAGGCGGCUCACUGGUCCAUUACUGACGCUGAGGUGCGAAAGCGUGGGGAGCAAACAGGAUUAGAUACCCCCGUAGUCCCUGUCUCUUAUACC